AACUUUCAACAACGGAUCUCUUGGCUCUCGCAUCGAUGAAGAACGCAGCGAAAUGCGAUAAGUAAUGUGAAUUGCAGAAUUCAGUGAAUCAUCGAAUCUUUGAACGCACCUUGCGCUCCUUGGUAUUCCGAGGAGCAUGCCCGUUCGAGUGUCU
rnacentral:rRNA from 1 species